CUUAGAUUGCUGUCAAAGAAGGAGAUCGUUGAAGGAGCCUGGUCUGCCAUACAGCCCAAAUACAUGGUCUUCCAUACAGCCCAUAUCAGUAGCUCCGGGAGAGAAACCUCUUGUGCAUGAAUCUCAUAGCAGACAGGAACCAGAAACUCCUUCUGAUUUUGUCGGCAGAGGAGCCUUGAGCCAGCCCUGUGGACCUGUGUGUUCAGAUUGCAAUGAAGACAACAGCACCCAGGCACCAGAUUUAUUCUUCUUUCCAAGCUUGACCCAAGAAUUGAGAGCUACAGGAAGGCAAGGCUAAGGAAAACAACUCUAAUCAGAAUUCUUCAGACAUUGGUGUGAAAGCAGAACAGCUCUGCACCCACCAGACAAAUAAUGCGAAAAAGGAUUCGUUUUCACAAAAGACAUUAUGCAUGUCUGAGAAAACUCACUUCCUGAGUGUUCUCUGAAGCAAAUCUACGGAGUGAUUAUCAGCCUGCUCAGUGGACAAGCUGUGGAGGUGAGUUAUGCCAAACAUUUCACCGGAGCUACAAGACAAUAGUUAUGGAA
rnacentral:lncRNA from 1 species